GACGAACGCUGGCGGCGUGCUUAACACAUGCAAGUCGAACGGAAAGGCCCUGCUUUUGUGGGGUGCUCGAGUGGCGAACGGGUGAGUAACACGUGAGUAACCUGCCCUUGACUUUGGGAUAACUUCAGGAAACUGGGGCUAAUACCGGAUAGGAGCUCCUGCUGCAUGGUGGGGGUUGGAAAGUUUCGGCGGUUGGGGAUGGACUCGCGGCUUAUCAGCUUGUUGGUGGGGUAGUGGCUUACCAAGGCUUUGACGGGUAGCCGGCCUGAGAGGGUGACCGGCCACAUUGGGACUGAGAUACGGGCCAGACUGCUACGGGAGGCAGCAGUGGGGAAUAUUGCACAAUGGGCGGAAGCCUGAUGCAGCAACGCCGCGUGCGGGAUGACGGCCUUCGGGUUGUAAACCGCUUUCGCCUGUGACGAAGCGUGAGUGACGGUAAUGGGUAAAGAAGCACCGGCUAACUACGUG
rnacentral:rRNA from 1 species